AGCCUGUGAAUCUGUUGGAUGUAUUUGGCCUAGAGUUGAUUUUGUUUGAUGAUUUAUGGAUGUAUGGCUCGUGUGGUAGCCUGAACUUGUGUACCCGAGAUUUGUUAUAGUGGAAUUGUUGGUGGUG